rnacentral:lncRNA from 1 species
GAGUGCAAGGGUUCAACUCCAAUGUCUGUUUCAACAUAGUUUGAAACAACAUUAUUAGACCCUUGCAAUAAAAUGUCAAUGACAAAUUGAAUCACUGCAACAUCUAGAGUCUCUCUUUCUUCUUCAGUUAUUUCUUUUUGCACUAUAGCUGGUUAGAGCUUUGUGUCUCUUUCAACAGACAUUGUAGAAAAUAUUUCAGCACUUGUUUCCAAGGCUGAUUGAACUUUGGCAUCUAACUCUUCCUUUUGCUAUUCGUCUUCAAACACAACAAUGAUAGCAUC